rnacentral:rRNA from 1 species
GACGAACGCUGGCGGAGGGAGGAACACAUGCAAGUCGAACGGAAAGGCCAUGCUUUUGUGGGGUGCUCGAGUGGCGAACGGGUGAGUAAAACGUGAGUAAACUGCCCUUGACUUUGGGAGAACUUCAGGAAAAUGGGGCGAAUACCGGAUAGGAGCUCCUGCUGCAUGGUGGGGGUUGGAAAGUUUCGGCGGUUGGGGAUGGAAUAGAGGCUUAUCAGCUUGUUGGUGGGGUAGGGGCUUACCAAGGCUUUGACGGCUAGCCGGCCUGAGAGGGUGACCGGCGACAUUGGUACUGAGAUACGGCCCAGACUCCUACGGGAGGCAGCAGUGGGGAGUAUUGCACAAUGGGCGGAAGCCUGAUGCAGCAACGCCGCGUGCGGGAUGACGGCCUUCGGGUUGUAAACCGCUUUCGCCUGUGACGAAGCGUGAGUGACGGUAAUGGGUAAAGAAGCACCGGCUAACUACGUG